AGAAUAGCCGGGGCAAUUGCUGUCCCGAUUGGGAGAGAGGAAAGUCCGAACUUCGCAGAACAGGAUGCCGGGUAACGCCCGGGAGCCGGAAUCGAAAGUUCCGGUUACGGAAAGUGCCACAGAAAAUAUACCGCCCCGAUUCAUCGGAGUAAGGUUGAAAUGGCAGGGUAAGAGCCUACCGCGGUAAUGGUAACAUUGCCGGUCCCGUAUGGGAUUCCGCUAAUUACGGAACAAGGCAAACCCCAUCCGAAGCAAGGUCAAGCAGAAAGUCUUCCGGUUUUCCGGAACGGGGUUGUUCGCCCUUAGUGCUUUCGGGUAGACCGCUCGAUGUAUGGAGUAAUUCAUAUACUAGACAAAUAAUUGCCUUCCCCGCUUUGCAGGGAAUACAAAAUUCGGCUUAUACGGCUAUUCUAUUU
rnacentral:RNase_P_RNA from 1 species